rnacentral:rRNA from 1 species
GACAGAGGGGGCAAGCGUUGCUCGGAAUUACUGGGCGUAAAGGGCGCGUAGGUGGGAUGGCAAGUCGGUCGUGAAAUCCCUCGGCUCAACCGAGGAACGUCGAUCGAUACUGCUGUUCUUGAGGAUUGCAGAGGAGACUGGAAUUCCCGGUGUAGCGGUGAAAUGUGUAGAGAUCGGGAGGAACACCGGUGGCGAAGGCGGGUCUCUGGGCCGUAACUGACGCUGAGGAGCGAAAGCGUGGGGAGCGAACAGG